CGCCGGUUUGAGGCGUCCCUCCCCCGCCCUGAAGGAGCAGCAGCGGUCGGUGUCUGGUGGUCUGGAUGCGGACUCACGGAGAUAAAUCGGCGCUUUAAUCUCCGGUUCUUCACCGGCGACAGACGGCGGCGGGAUUUCCUCUUGUUUCAUCUUCUCACGGAGCGACGUUAGAUAGGACGGUUAUUCUAACGACCUCGUGCUGUUUUAACGGCGUUAGCGGACACAUCAUAUUAGAUUCAUUCACCGUUGUGAGUGACAUUCUCCGGUAACCUUCAGACACCAUCCCGGUGUUCCGGUUCUAUGGUUCUUUAAACGUUUCCAGACAAGCGUUCCCCAAGGAACACUGUAAUCUGACUGAAAGAACCUCAAAGGAACCCUCGAGAACAGCUAUUAGAGAACCCUGAUUUAGGUUCUAGUCUCACUGAAAGAACCCGUGAGGAACCAUGGGGAGGAGGUCGUAAAGAACCCUGAUUUAGGUUCUAGCCUCACUGAAAGAACCUGUGAGGAACCAUGGGGAGGAGGUCUUAAAUAACCCUGAUUUAGGUUCUAGUCAGACUGAAAGAACCUGUGAGGAACCCUGAAGAAGGGCUAGUAAAGUACCUGAUUUAGGUCCUAGGGUCACUGAAAGAACCACAGAGCAACGAUUCCACAACAUCUACAAACCAAUUUACUACAGUAUUUAUAGUUUCAGAUGUUACUUUGAAACUAAAUCAGCGAUGACUUCAGAAUCUAACGGAACAUCCUGAGAACGUUUUUUACACUUGAAUUAAAAAGAAUACAAUCAGAACCCUAAAGCCAAACGAUGAGUCACUAUAAAGUCUCCAGCUGUGACAGAAGCACCAACAUCAUUAGUUCAUCAACUACAUCACUACUAUGACGUCAUCACGUAACCCUGUUUAGAUGUUCUCCUGUGAUGAUUGUCACGUGAUCAAUAGGACAAUCCGCCGUUUCCCGAUCAAUCAGUGUUAAACCUCCAACGUUUAGUUUCUUUGGACCCUGACGACCUCUGGAG
ensembl:lncRNA